rnacentral:rRNA from 1 species
AGAGUUUGAUCAUGGCUCAGGAUGAACGCUGGCGGCGUGCCUAAUACAUGCAAGUCGAACGAGGUGCUUUUGUAGCAAUACGAGAGUAUCCUAGUGGCGAACGGGUGAGUAACGCGUUGGUGACCUACCCCAAAGUGUGGGAUAACAGUCCGAAAGGAUUGCUAAUACCGCAUGUGGUCUUCGGAUUUAGAAACUGAUGACUAAAGGAGCAAUUCGCUUUGGGAGGGACCUGCGUCCCAUCAGCUAGUUGGUGAGGUAAUGGCUCACCAAGGCUACGACGGGUAGGGGACCUGAGAGGGUGACCCCCCACAAUGGAACUGAAACACGGUCCAUACACCUACGGGUGGCAGCAGUAGGGAAUAUUGCACAAUGGGCGAAAGCCUGAUGCAGCAACGCCGCGUGUGCGAUGAAGGCCUUCGGGUCGUAAAGCACUUUUCUGGGAGAUGAGCAAGGACAGUAUCUCAGGAAUAAGUCUCGGCUAACUACGUG